CCGCCGGGCGCCUCCCCCUGGAACGCCACGGCCGGUGGGCUCCCCGAUCCCCGCCCCCGGGCACCGUGUCUGCCCCAGCAGCGAGGGCCCCGCGCGGCUGGGGGAGCUGUCACCGCCGUCUGCGCGCCGUGCAGGGGCCGGCUUUCUGUGCGGAGUGGCCCGCGAGGGUAGGGGGGCGAGGUGUGGGUGGCGGGGCCCGGCCCGGCGCGAACUUCCCCGACGGAGUCCCAGCGCGGGCACGGCCGCAGGGGAAUGAGCGCCGCCCAAAACAACCGGCCCGCGGGGCAGGGCUCUCGGGACAACGUAAAGAGAAACCCCCCCGAGGCCCUUCCCGCGCGAGGGUACGCUGAGCUGGGGCCCCGGGGCCGCUCCGGCCCUCCGGCCGAGCCCCUCCGCACCCCGCCCCGCCGCUCCCGAGCCCGGGGGCCCGACAGCUGCGAGGAUGGCAACUCGGGUUUCGCAAACAGGGCGCAGCCCCUCGGAGGAAAAGUUCCCGCAGUGGCCGCGGGCGGCGGGCACAUACUCACUUUCUCCACUCGUCGGCCAGAGCGAGAGCGCGGCGGAGAAAAACAGNAAGAAAGAAAGAAAAAAAGAAAAAAGAAAAAAAAAGGAAAAAAAACGGGAAAGAAAAAGAAAAAGUCUCAAACUCAGUCUUCGCCCCCUCCGAAAACAGGGCGAAGGAAACAAUACUCCAAAGGCGGCGCCGGCCAGGGACCCUCCGGGUGCGCGGAGCGGGCGGGCGGCGGCGCGGGGCGGCCCCUCAGCGCCGGCAGCCUCGGCCCAGGGCUCGGCGGAGUCGGGAACCCGAGGCGCGCCGGGGCGGGCUGUCGGCGUCGUCGGCCUCCAUUUUCAAACCCAGAGAGGCAGAAGGGGGGGAAAACUGCACAGAAAGGGGGCAAAGCCCAAAUUCGUCUCGGCGAAGAAAAACAAACCCGACCCCAGGCAGAGAGGGAGGCUGUCCGACACCCGAGCCUCCGCGGCUGGAGGGCGCGACGCAGUUCGCAAGAUUGCCCCGAAGUCCGGGUCGCGGGCGAGGCCGGCCAGGGGCAGAAAUGCGGAGUAAAAAUGAAUGAGCGGCUCCCCCUCCUCCUCCUCCUCCGAGCUCCGCUCGCCGCCGCCUCCUCCCUCAGCGCCGCCGCCGCCGCCGCCGCGAGCUCCUUCCCAAAUCCAGAACACACACAAAGCGNNNNNNN
rnacentral:lncRNA from 1 species